ACACUCAAGUGACCUUGCAGCUGGGAAUACAUGAAGUCUGGGGAGCAACAAUGUAGAAAAGCAUAUAAAUUAUGCCUGCUGCUGUUUGUGCUCUCUGUGUUUGGCAAGUAGCACACCUGUGCAUAGAUAAUGUAGGUCUUUGGAGGACUUGGAGGUGCCCUAUCAGAUGUACUUAAGCUCCCAGCCUUGGUACAGAGAUCAAAGAAGCACAGUGAGAAUCACGGUGUAGUGGUAAAAACUGCACCUGUGUGAACUCUUGAUAAAAACAGGUGAAACUAGCAGGCUGGUGAUCUCCUAGAAUGGACUCAGUUUAGUGGUUCCUGCAUUAUUACUUGUGUGCCUGUACUCCUGUAUCUCUGCUUGGGUGCUGCUUCAGGGAUCCCCCAGUUGAAUUACAAUACAAUAUUUCACCUUUCCAGAAGCUUCUAUUUGACUGAAAUUGUAGCAGCCAGGAAAAGACAAAUAAGCAUCUUUCUCACUUUGCUGUACAAUCACCCCUUGUUGAAGAAAUACAGUAUAACAUGGUGUAACAAGAGGAUAACUUCAAGAAAUUGAGAUCCAGGAAGAAACUAUAGUGUGUUGCUAGAUUUGUUUUGAUCAGAACCUACUGUCUAUAUGCUGUAAUAGGACCCACUGCAGUUUUCAGAAGUGUUCUCAGAAAGUAAACAAACUAGCUUUUCUCAGAUGGCAUUAACUGAUGAAGGAUACAUUCUUGAAAGAUACAUUCUUGUGAAAGAUACAUUCCAGAAGCACAUACUUCAACUGCUAAUAAACUUUCAGUCUGUGGUACAUGAUAAAUUUAUGCUUAUUUAUUUUUAUUAAAUUUAUGCUAAGUAAAUACAGCUGAUCUAUACAUACUGCAGACAGCAGGACCUUAGCACCAGCUUGUACUGCAGGUAUAUUACCAUUGGGCCAUGAUAGCUAAUUAUGGAGCCCAAGGUGUUUGUCCUGAGCAUCUCUGAUUCUAUUGCACUUCAGGCUUCUUACUUACUGGUGCUCCUCACUCAGUUUUCAAUCCAGGAGCUUACCCCAGCUGAUAAUGUCUAAUUACUGUCAGGAAACAGGUCAUCUCCUCCACACCAACUGUACAGUCAGAAAUCAACAGGAGUCAACUUACCUAACCGCAGCUUUUUGGUGAAAAGCAUAUCAUAGUUCAAUAAAUAAUUAACAAACAAAGAGACUCUGUCACAAGUGAAAUAUUUGUUGGAAUUCAAAGCAUGAGUUUUAUGAUUUGCCUGAUUGUGUAAUUUUAAUUGUUAUUGAAAGUGACUUAAAAGUCUUAACCUGACUUAAUGGGGUUGGAUGAGCUGGAUAUUUUGAGCCAAUGGUCAACAGCUGGUAUGCUUGUGUACAUUAUGUAUGUUUGUAUAAAAUAUAUGUAAAAUUCAAAUUUUAUAUAUAUAAAAAAUUGAAAUCACACAUAAUGUAUAUAUAUGCUUUCAAUGUAAUGCACAACUCAUAAACUACAAAAUCAUUUGUAUCAAAGUCAUAAAAAUUGUUUCAAAACCAUUUGUGUUUAACGUAGGUUUUAAUUUCCACCAGACAUCAUGUGCAAGGGGAAACUAGAUGUGGAAUGUUGAUGUCAUCAUCUAAUGAAUCUGAUAUAUAGCAGUCUCUAUCCAUACUUUCUUAAUAAUAUACAAAUGAUUAAAGAAACAAUAUUUUCAUUAUUUGAAAUUGACAUUUGUUUGCAAUAUUACUGCUAUCAUGUCUACAAGUACUGUAGCAAAACAUACUUGUACUUUUCUAACAACGCUCUUAGUUUCUUCGGGUGAUUCAGAUUCAGGCAUUGCCUUCUCAUAGCAGAUGGCUGAAUGGUGAUUCAAGAUGCUAAUUAGUCUUUUGCAUUUUCCAGCUAACCUUAGGUAGACACAUUCCUCUGAGAGAUGAUUACAGUAUGUGGUGUUAAACACUAGCAGACAUUUGCUAGAAGAUUUUUGUAAUGAGCAUUUUUAAACAAUAAAACAGUCAUUAACUAUAGUAUAGUAAACACAUGAUACCAGCAAGACUGUAAUUAACAGCAUUGUGGCAUUUUAAAGGACUGAUUUACAUAUUUUAACAUUCUCUUAUUGUGGGGGUUCUUCAGGUGGAACUAAGAAAUGAUUGUAGAAAUUCAGGGAAAGCUGCUAAAAUGAGAGAUCUGUCAAUUUUCUAUCUGGAGCCUAUUAUUCAUCAAUAGGUGUAGUAAAAGGGAGAAAAUGUGGUAAAAAAGCUGGUCAUUGUAAAUAAAAUAUGCAAAGAGAGAAACAGGAAGCAAAGUCUCAGAGAUAUAUGUUAGAUAAGAGUCAGGAUGAAAUCUGUCUACAAAUACAAGUUUUUCUUCGUACAAAAAAUAAAAUAAAAUAUUUCUCUUUAAAGGAGA